rnacentral:rRNA from 1 species
CAUGCAAGUCGAGCGGUAACAGAAAGUAGCUUGCUACUUUGCUGACGAGCGGCGGACGGGUGAGUAAUGCUUGGGAACAUGCCUUGAGGUGGGGGACAACAGUUGGAAACGACUGCUAAUACCGCAUAAUGUCUACGGACCAAAGGGGGCUUCGGCUCUCGCCUUUAGAUUGGCCCAAGUGGGAUUAGCUAGUUGGUGAGGUAAUGGCUCACCAAGGCAACGAUCCCUAGCUGGUUUGAGAGGAUGAUCAGCCACACUGGAACUGAGACACGGUCCAGACUCCUACGGGAGGCAGCAGUGGGGAAUAUUGCACAAUGGGCGAAAGCCUGAUGCAGCCAUGCCGCGUGUGUGAAGAAGGCCUUCGGGUUGUAAAGCACUUUCAGUCAGGAGGAAAGGGUGUGAGUUAAUACCUCACAUCUGUGACGUUACUGACAGAAGAAGCACCGGCUAACUCCGUGCCAGCAGCCGCGGUAAUACGGAGGGUGCGAGCGUUAAUCGGAAUUACUGGGCGUAAAGCGUACGCAGGCGGUUUGUUAAGCGAGAUGUGAAAGCCCCGGGCUCUACCUGGGAACUGCAUUUCGAACUGGCAAACUAGAGUGUGAUAGAGGGUGGUAGAAUUUCAGGUGUAGCGGUGAAAUGCGUAGAGAUCUGAAGGAAUACCGAUGGCGAAGGCAGCCACCUGGGUCAACACUGACGCUCAUGUACGAAAGCGUGGGGAGCAAACGGGAUUAGAUACCCCGGUAGUCCACGCCGUAAACGAUGUCUACUAGAAGCUCGGAACCUCGGUUCUGUUUUCAAAGCUAACGCAUUAAGUAGACCGC